CUUAAUACAAGUGUAGCCAUCUAUGUGUAAAAACAAUCGAACAAGUCACAGUGGGCAUGGCAUGUACGUACAUGCCAUCCCCGGUGGUAAUGGGUUAAUACAUUUUGAUAGAGUUGGAUAACUUCAUUUAGUAAUAAUUUUGCAGGUUAUGAUCUCUCCUCGGAAUCUGGAUUUGAAACUUUUGUAGAUGACUUUGGGAAAAUCAUUGGUUGGCAGUUCCUUCGUGGAUUACACAUCAAUGACUCUAAAGGAAACUUUGGAGACCACCAAGACCGCCAUGAGAACAUUGGCAAAGGCACCAUUGGCAUAGAAGGCUUUCGCAGGAUCAUGAACUGCAGUUAUUUCAAUGAUAUGCCCCUUAUUCUGGAAACCCCUUGGACAAAUAAUGAAGGGUAUGCAAAGGAGAUCAAAAUUCUGGAAGGCCUAGUAGAGGCAUGAGCCAUGAAGUGGUUUGGCUUUAUUUAUGUAACCCUCAGUAAUAGUAAAUACAAAUUUUGGGGGGUGGGAAAGUACCCACACUUACCCUUUCCUGACGGGGCAUGUGCUGAGACGUCAUAACAAACUGCUCUAUCUGUGGAGUGCGGCUGUAUGCCACAGCAACGCGCCAAAGCACUAUGAGCUAGUGAUUUGGCUUGAUGUAAUUAAUCCCGCACUUUGAUCUCCAGAGCAUAUAUAUUUUUAAAAAAUUUUCUUCACCCAUCAGUAAGGGGUUAUCAAUGGUUUGGCAUAUUCCCAUCCUCCCUAGGAAUACUUCUCCAUAUAAUUCUCUCUGUUUAAUAUAGAAAUACAGUCCCUAUUUUUUUACAGUUUUGUGAAAGAUAGAUUAUAGUAAAUUCCUAAAAUGUGUAACUUGUGUAAAAUUGUCACAAAUUCUUUGAAUAAGAAACUUCCAUUUUA